rnacentral:pre_miRNA from 1 species
AGGAGCAACAGCCCUAGUGGCGGGGCCAGCUCUGGAAACCUGGAUUCAGCUCCCACAGUAACUAGGAAGCUCUCAGUCUGCAGGGCCUGGAGGCUCCGGGGCGGG